rnacentral:rRNA from 1 species
GAGUUUGAUCCUGGCUCAGAUUGAACGCUGGCGGCAUGCCUUACACAUGCAAGUCGAACGGCAGCAUGAUCUAGCUUGCUAGAUUGAUGGCGAGUGGCGAACGGGUGAGUAAUACAUCGGAACGUGCCCUGUAGUGGGGGAUAACUAGUCGAAAGAUUAGCUAAUACCGCAUACGACCUGAGGGUGAAAGUGGGGGACCGCAAGGCCUCAUGCUAUAGGAGCGGCCGAUGUCUGAUUAGCUAGUUGGUGGGGUAAAGGCCCACCAAGGCGACGAUCAGUAGCUGGUCUGAGAGGACGAUCAGCCACACUGGGACUGAGACGCGGCCCAGACUCCUACGGGAGGCAGCAGUGGGGAAUUUUGGACAAUGGGCGAAAGCCUGAUCCAGCAAUGCCGCGUGUGUGAAGAAGGCCUCGG